CGCACCACUUGCCUAGCAUCCCUCUCCCCACCUUCGAAGCUUCCAACUGCACCGGGACCCCGGGCAGCAGCAGCAGCUGCUGCUACUGCUGCUUCGUCCAUUCAGUGUCCCCCGAUUCCCCUCUCCCCACCUACCAACUGCGGGUGAAGUGCGCGCUGUCAGCUCCAGAGUCCUCCGCCCCUCUGACCUCCGUGGGCCCCCGUCCGGGCAGCACCACUCCCGGCCGCGGCGACAGUUCCUGCGCCCCGUUCCCCACUCGCCCCGAUUUACUGCCACAAUCCACCAAAUAACAAGCUGUUGAGCCGACUCGCUUCUACACGAACUCCUAUUGGCUGCUCAUGACGCCGAAGAGCUUCGUAUAGGACCUCGCUACCUGCCGUCCUCAUUGGAUGUAGCUCUGAAACUUCAUGGAUUGGUGCGAAAAACAGCAGGUAGGACAUCUUCCACUUAUGAUUGGUUUUUUCUGAAGACCAACGUUAUUGGAGAGUUGGUUAUUGAGUAAGCAAGUCCUGAGAAUUGAUUGGUAGACACGACUCCGGAUGUGCUUGACUGGGCACUGAUUGGUGAAUUGAGGGGGUCAGGAAGAGCAGUUCGGCACGAGGAUUGGCGGCGGAGUGUCCCAUGGAAACGGAACCCAGAAUUGCAGCCAGGGGCUUACACGGGGGCGGGGCAGUGUCUUUCCUAGGCGCCUGCGCCAAACCAGCUUCCCGGCGCCAUUUUGUCUCGGCAGCGGUGGCUGCAGGUCCAUCGCAUUUUAGGUUUCUGGCGAGAAGGAAACGGAGUUUUCAUCUGGUAGAUUCGUUUUUCUGCGGCAGCCAUCCACCGUUUCCUCCAGGACAGCACCUAGUCUUGGACAGAGGAGUCUCAGAACUGUCAAAAGUCUUUUGUCUUUUAGAGUAA
ensembl:lincRNA